AUCCUGGCUUGGAGGUCUAGGAGCUUCCUGUGUAGGGGGUCAAAAGCCACCCCGAAGUCCUUGUGCUGGACGAGCAGGCUCUGCAAAUAGAACUACAAAUGAAGAGCUUUCCUCAUGGUGUCUUGUAAGACCUGACAGUGGGCUGGGCUGCUCUCUCUAUGCUAGCUCCUGAACCACCUCCUCCAGGAUGCCCUCCCUGCAGCUCCAGUGGUUUGAGAGGGAAGAUCUCACUUCCGGUCUGCUUCCCCCAGUUCCUGCCUCCCCGAUUCGUUCUGCUGAUGACAUGAGAUUACUGGACUGGAGUCAGGUGACAUAGCCUGAGCCGUGACCCCUGCACCAGACUCUCCUCACCUGUAAAACCAGGAAAAUGGCAGCACCUCCCCCACAGCAUCAGCUGGACAAAGGAGCUGCGAUUCUGCAGACGUCUGUGGAGAAGCGGCGCAGCAGAAAGACUGCAUUGGGAGGCCCUGAAUUUCAGGAUCAGGUUGGUUUUCUUUUUCCAGCUCCCCGUGCAUCUCAUUACCAAAGGCCAGGUAAUAAUGCACUCCCUUUUCUGUCUCGGAAACCCAUGUCCCCACAUCAUCACCACCAGCAGCUCUGGCAUGCCCUCAGCCUCUCUCACUUGGACCACCGCUCCUGCCUGCCUAUUGCAUCCAAGCUGGCGCUCCAGAGCUGGCCCUCCACACUGCACCAACUUGAGCCUCUAUGCCACUACACAGUGACCCUCCAUCACCAACAGACCUUCUGACAUCCUGAAAACACAGCCCCUGGGCCCCUGGGCAGUUCCCACCAAUAACAAGAGGCAACUGGAUCCCUGUGGGUUCGUGGCUGACCAAGUCUACAUAGUAAGUUCCAGACAAGCCAGGGCUACAAAAGGAGACCCUGUCUCAACUAGAAAACUAAAUAAAACAGAUAAUUAAGGAGAGAUUAAAGUUGGGGAGAUGGCUCAACAAUUAAGGUGCUUUCUGAACAAGCGUGAGGAAGGGGUUGUAGGGGACCCCUAAAGCAAGCUGGCUGGCAAGACCAGCCACUCCAGUGAGCUCUGGGAUCAAUGAAUAAGGUGAAAGAGCAAUCAAGGAUGGUUCCCAACACCAGCCUCGGGCUCACACACCUUCAGGCUCCAGGCUUCAGGCCGAGCAGCAUUCUCCAGUGGGAGUGGGGCCUACCCUGAUUAAAGAUUCUCCCAGCAACACCCAGCAGGCCAGAAAGGGUGAUGGGGAAAACUGUUCUGACAUGUUGAUGGUGGCCCUGUGCCUCGUGGGAUGGUGGGCAGUUUUGCUUAAUUUUCGGGGAAAUCUAUACGUUCUCUGGGUAGCAGGUGUAUUUUUAUAAUCAGAAUGAAAGCUAAUAUAAAAUGAGG